GACGGAGGGGGCUAGCGUUGUUCGGAAUUACUGGGCGUAAAGCGCACGUAGGCGGCUUUGUAAGUUAGAGGUGAAAGCCCGGGGCUCAACCCCGGAAUUGCCUUUAAGACUGCAUCGCUUGAACACGGGAGAGGUGAGUGGAAUUCCGAGUGUAGAGGUGAAAUUCGUAGAUAUUCGGAAGAACACCAGUGGCGAAGGCGGCUCACUGGACCGUUGUUGACGCUGAGGUGCGAAAGCGUGGGGAGCAAACAGG
rnacentral:rRNA from 1 species